UACGGGGGGGGCAAGCGUUGUUCGGAAUUACUGGGCGUAAAGGGCUCGUAGGCGGCCAACUAAGUCAGACGUGAAAUCCCUCGGCUUAACCGGGGAACUGCGUCUGAUACUGGAUGGCUUGAGUUUGGGAGAGGGAUGCGGAAUUCCUGGUGUAGCGGUGAAAUGCGCAGAUAUCGGGAAGAACACCCGUGGCGAAGGCGGUUCUCUGGGACGGUACUGACGCUGAGACGCGAAAGCGUGGGGAGCGAACAGG
rnacentral:rRNA from 1 species